CCCUUAGAUGUCCUGGGCCGCACGCGCGCUACACUGAUGCAUUCAACGAGUUUUACCUUGGCCGAGAGGCCUGGGCAAUCUUUUAAACCUGCAUCGUGAUAGGGAUAGAUUAUUGCAAUUAUUAAUCUUGAACGAGGAAUUCCUAGUAAACGCAAAUCAUCAUUUUGCAUUGAUUACGUCCCUGCCCUUUGUACACACCGCCCGUCGCACCUACCGAUUGAAUGGUCCGGUGAAGCCUCGGGAUUGUGGCCAGUUCACUUUAUUGGGAGUUGGCUGUGAGAACUUGUCUAAACCUUAUCAUUUAGAGGAAGGUGAAGUCGUAACA
rnacentral:rRNA from 1 species